GGAGAUUUCAGUAUUUUCUGUAGCAAAAUUAUUCUGAUUUUUAAAAAUGUUUUAUGUUAGCAAAAAUAUCCCAUACCUUGUGGAGGAAGCUUGCAGAUACUGUUGAAGUACUGUGAGUAGAAGCAAAUCCAACUAAAUUCUUUUAUAUAUUGAGCAGAGGAUGGAAGAUUUCCAUCUUUCUGACCCACCUCCCCCUCUGAAAUAGUAUCAAACUGCUCAAUUUUGGACUUAAUUAUUCAGGCUUUGUUCAUGCAAAACUUCCAACAGUGUCCAUGAGCACUUUGCCUGAAAAAGAACAAAUUCAUUAAAGCUGUAUGUUUUCAUUAAGGGCUCAGAGAAGCAAAUGGAAAGAAGGGGUAACAUCUAUAAAAAUAACUUUUGUAGGUCUCUUGAGUUUAAUUUCCAGUUCUUUCUAUAAAAAAAAAAAGACAUAGAAAAAGUAAUAAGAAAAAUAUGCUCUAAAUGAUGUGUAUCCUCCUCUCCCAGACUGGACUGGCACAAGACAACCAGUUCCUGUCUGCCAGCUGUGGACACCCUAUUUCUUUUGGAGUGUGCGAGAUCCAAUUUGCCAGUAUGUGGAUAUCACAUUCUUAAGCAAGAUAUUGCUGAACCAUAAGGGAAAAAUGUGCAAUGUUAAGGCCACCAUUCUUCAGACUAAAAGUAAAUGAUAAAACAAGUCGGAUAAACUGUGACAUCUGCCAUUUCAACAAUACACCAGAGGCUGAGAUGGGGACUGCUGGAGCUAAAUGCAUGAACCACGCUACGCUUCUCCUCCACCUCAGAUGUCCUGUUUCUUCAGCCAUCUCUUUCAAACACUCUUCUGUAGUGGGGAGUUUCCCCUACGAUGUCCCUCGUAUUUCUCCAUGA
rnacentral:lncRNA from 1 species